rnacentral:pre_miRNA from 1 species
UGGACAGAUUAUUGUAUUCGACUGUAUUCACGGCGUGAUAGGGGAUUACACUGUUUUUAAAACGGAAAGUGAAUCAAUUAACAUAAUAGACUCCU